CCACAUCCACUUAAUCUCACCUCGUUUGACGCUCCCAUCUCCUCCGCUCCUCCGCUCUGCUCCAUCUCGUCUCGCGCGCCGCCGACGAGAUUGGAGAUCCUCUGCCACCGGUGACGCGAUGCCGGCCGGCCAUGACCACCACCAACUUCUGUUUCUUCUAUCCCUGCCAUGGCUGCUCCACCAAACGCCUCCGGGGCGAGCUGCGCCUGUGGCCGUGGUGAGCCGCGCCCAUGGAUGCGAGGCCGUGCAGCGGCCGGCCUGCAGCGGAGCCUGUUGCAUCCUCGAACCGGCUGCGAUGCCCGAAGUAAGGCGUUGCGACCAGUGAGAUAAGAUGCUGGAACCGGCAUGGGGAUUUGCUUCAACUUGUGCAGGGAUUUGCCUCAACCGGGGAGGAUGGUGGUGGGCUGCGGUAAGUUGCUUCUUUUUUGAUUUUUGCUGGAAACACUUUCGUUUUUUGCUGAAAUCAGUUUCUCGAUUUGUUGCAGCAGGAGAGGAUAAUGCUGGGCGCCAUGACGGCGGGGGUGCCAUGUUUUUUGCUACACAUGAUUUUUGCUGGAACCAGCCUUUUGACCUGCUGCAAUCGGUGAGGAUGGUGUUGGGGUUGCUACGAUGGGGACGCCAUGGCUUUUUUUGCUGUAUUGAUUGCUGGAACCCCCUUUUUCAGUUUUGCUGGAACUAUAUGAAUUUCUUGUUGAAACCAUGUUUGUUUUUUGCUAGAACCAAAUCAAUGUAAUUUGCUGGAAACACGUCAUUUUUGCUGGAACCAUAUCAAUUUUUUGCUGGAACCAUAUAAAUUAUUUGCUACAACCAUGUGUUCUGCUUUUCAAACUGGCGUUGCU
rnacentral:lncRNA from 1 species